rnacentral:lncRNA from 1 species
CACUGACUACCUCUGGAGCAGCUGCUGCUGGAAACCAGGCUCAUGGCAACCUACUGGGCUGACUCCCCAUCUUAAGGGACAUGGCAACGGAGAACUCGGUGCUUUCGGGAAAAAGAAAAAAAAAUUAUAAGCUGAGAAGGCAAAGCUGACAGAGGAGUUUCCACUUUUGAGCUUCUUCUGGCUUCUCAGAAGCCCGUGUUGCCCUUGAAGCUAGUUUCCUAGAGUAGGGGAGGUUCCUGGGAGUCUGCAAGCCACCGCAGUUAUCUGGUUAGCGAUCAGAAGGUUCUUGGUGCUGCCCCAGCUGGGAUUCCUUCCAAACCAUGUCUGCACCACCUGUAACUCUUCACUCCACUAGCUUGCCAGAGACCAUCCCAAGCCUGGGGGAAUGUGGGGCGCUGCCAUUCCACAAAGAACCACCAGCCAACCUUGGCUGAAGAAGGACAACCGUGUACAUUG